rnacentral:tRNA from 1 species
UCCCGUGUAGCAAAGUCGGUAAAGCAUCUGCCUGCAAUGCGGGAGACCUGGGUUCAGUUCCUGGGUCAGGAA